UCUCUUCUAAAGUCAUGAGACACAGUAGUGUAAUUCAAGCGAAGUACAGAAGUGUUUAGUAGGCUUACAGUCAUCUGGGAAAUGCUUAUUGCAUACGCAUAUAUUUUAAAAGUGACUUGCUAAACCGGCAAAAUGGAAAAUGUUGGUGUGCCACAAAAGAUCCCAGAGGAGUACAUCAACAAAAUCACAGAGGCAGUCCAGUCUACAAACCCAGAGAAUAUCCCUCAACAGUUUAUGACUUUUCUGAAAGUGUAUGAUCAGUUCAAGUUGGAUGUUGCUGUGACAGGAGAUUCUGGCUCAGGAAAAUCUACACUCAUUAAUGCUCUCCUUGGACUGGAUCAUGAUGCUAAAGGUGCUGCACCAACAGGAGUUGUAGAGACCACAAUGGAACCUGGAAUGUAUCGAUAUCCAAACUGUCCUCAUGUGAAACUGUGGGACCUUCCAGGAAUGGGCACACCCUCUUUUAAAUCAAAGAGUUAUGUAGAGACAAUAAACUUUAAUCUCUAUGACAUGUUUUUUGUAGUGAUAUCUGAACGAUUUCGAGAAAACAACAUGCUUGUGAUUGAAGAAAUACAUAAACAAAAGAAGCCUUUUUAUGUUAUUAGAACAAAAGUAGACAAUGACUUGCGUGCACAGAGUAGGAAAUAUAACUUCACUGAAGCUGGUGCUUUAUCUGUCAUGAGAGAUGAAUGUUUAAAAUAUGUAGAAGAGAAAAACCUGCACCCCCAUAUCUUCUUAGUGUCAGCACAUUAUACACAGAACUAUGACAUGCAGAAGCUUAAGGACACCUUUAAGAAAGAGGCUCCAGAACUCAAAAGAGAAGUUUUUCCCAUUUUCCUGGCAAAUUUGUUCAGUAGAGAUUGGAGGAAACGAAGGACUAUCAUGCAGCAGGCUCUGGAGAGUGGGAAAAUCAAUGAAAAUGAUGUACCAGGCCUAAGAACCUUCUGCAAAAGUUUUGACGUUGCAAAUGGAACUGAAAAACUGAAGAUUGUAUUGGAGGCUCUAGACAACUUUCAGCUUGAUGUGGCUGUUUUAGGAGAGACAGGAUCUGGGGUAUCUACACUUCUGAAUGGCCUAAUGAGACAGCAGAACGGUGCCUUUUGUUCAGUGCAUUCCAAAACACCAGCAGCAAGUCCUUAUUACCCAAAUGUCAGAUUUUGGGCUAUGUCAGGAAUAGAGAACAUUAUGGUGAAUUCCUUGGAGGAGAUGAAAGAAAUCUUGGAUCCUUUUGAUUUCUAUGUGCUUAUUGUGACUGAGUGGAAGAAGGCACACCACAUAGACCUUGCAAGACUUAUUCAAAAGUUACAGAAGAAGUAUCAUUUUGUCCAAACAAAGAUCGACAGCUAUUUGAAGGCCCAAGGAGAUUUGUGUUGUCCUGAGACUGAGAUUCUGGAUGGGCUUCGAGCACAGUGUGCUGAGGAGCUUCAGAGGGCAAAAGUUGACAAUUCACAACUGUUUCUCAUAAACAGUUUAGAUAGAAAGGCCUUCGACUUUGUUAGUCUGGAGAGUGUAUUGGGCAGUGACCUUGACACUAUAAGGAUAAGUGCUUUCACAUAUUAUGUUGAUAGAAUUGUGAAAGACAAAAAGCAAUCACAGAGCUCUUGUCAGAUAUUGUAGCUCUUUGACUAUUUCUGAGGUCUUGUUACAAUACAGCCAUUAGUGUUAUUAUCAAUUUGUUCAUGCACUGGUCAGAUUAUCUUUUUUAAUUACACCUACUAUAACAUAUCCAGUUGUCUUCUUACAAACUAAUACUGUGUAACUACAAACUACUGCAUACCAUAGUAACUCGUUUUACCAGUUUACCAGUUUACUACUGAGUCAUUACAGGGAGAGACACUUGUAACCUCUUGUAAACCUUGUAAGUUUAUGCUUACAUUUAUUAUUUAUAUUUAUUUACAACUUACAUUUAUCUCAUUUUAUACAACUGAGCAGUUAAGGGUUAAGGGCCUUGCUCAAGGACCCAGUAGUGGCAGCUUGGUGGGCCUUGGAUUUGAACUCACAACCUUCCAGUAAGUAGUCCAAUGCCUUAACCACUGAGCUACCACUUACAAAAAUGUGAAAAUCUCUCAGGAGAAAAUUUCUCAGGAACCAUCAAUCUUAUAUAUCUGAUAUUUGGUAUAUGUGCUAAUCUGUCAGGAAAUUUACAUUUAUGGCCCUUAUCCAGACAGACUUACAUUUAUCUCAUUUAUACAACUGAGCAGUUGAGCGUUAAGGGCCUUGCUCAAGGGCCCAGCAGUGUCAGCUUGGUGGUACUGAGAUUGUUGUGCUUUUGAUGCAGAUCCAGAAACACAUAAUUAUUGUGUUUGUUUGCAGUGCUCUUUUUUGAUAUGUGUAUGUUCAGGGUUUGUAUUGUGCCAAAUGUACUGCCAUGAUUUAUUACCAAUCAGUUACUAUGUGAUACGCGUUAUGUUGUCUACUGUUGUUACUUUUUGUUGUUGUUGUUGAUUAUUAUUAUUAUUAUUAUUAUUAUUGUGUGUUAUUAGACAUAUUUUAUUAAAUAAAUGUGAGUCAGGGGACAUGGGUGCAGGUUCCUCAGUUCAGUCCUGAGCUUGGCUUAAUGUUCUCCCAUGUGGGUUUCCUACAAAUUUGCAAAAAAAAAAAGUGCCAGCUACACCGCAUAUAUGGCAUAUAUUAAGUUUUAUUCCAUUUUUAAUGCGUAUGCUUUAGUGAAAUCAUCCUUCAUAUUCUAAAUUGCCCUAUGUGUGUGUGUGUUCCAAUGCUCUGUGAUGCAGUGCAACCUGAACAGGAGAAAUUAGUUAUUGAAGAAUGAAUUAUGUAAUAUACUGGGUUAGUGAACAGUUAUCAUGAUCAAUCUGGAUAAAUAGACUAGAAAAUGUAAGUGAUGGAAUGCUACUAAUUAUACUAAUAAUAUCAUGUUAUCAUGUGUUGUUCACACUACCGGGUCCGUGCCGGAAACAUGAUUUGUACUGCGCAUGUGCGGAAAUGCGUUUACCUCUUGUAUGAACCAUGACGAAUCGAUUUAAGGCAGUUUCGCGUAUUUAUAAUACUGUUGUUAUAAUACUAUUAAUCAUAUGAUGUUAUAACGUGUUGUUGACACUACCCGAUCCGUGCCGGAAAUAGUUGUUUACUAGUGAUUCUCUUGAUCUAUAUACACUUUUUUGGGUAGAAUAUAUCAAUUAAAUUAUAUUGAUUAAAAUGAGUAAUCGAUUAAAUUGGCACAAAUUAAAUUGAUUAAAUAAAAUUACAUACAAGAAUUUUUUCCCCCUACAUUUGCUAGACUCAAUUUGGGGAAUACAUAUGUGUAUGUAAGUGUGUGUGUGUUUUACAUUUAAUAUUUAAUUUUCUAAAUAUAUGUUCUACAUAUUUCCGCAUACUUUCAAUAAUCUCUGCAUUUAAGAAACACACCAGAUACUUAUUUAUUCAUUCCAUUCAUUUACUGAUAAAUGAAUUAAUUCCAUCCAUCCUUCAUGUUAAUUGCCAAUUAUUAAUUGCUAUUAUUAUUAUAAUACAAACAAUUUGACAUUGAAACAUUACAAUGCAAACAAAACAAGGCACAGAACAAGUUUACAAAACAAGUACACUAGUAUUUAUGGGAUACCAUGUGAUCAUGAACAACUCAAUCAACAAAGAGAGAAGGAGAAAACAAUUAAUACCAAAAAAAAGAAGAAAAAAUACAAGGGAAGGGUGGUGCAAGAGGGUCCAUUUCAUCUUUAUUGAUAAUGUUAAAUUCACGGCAUAUAUUACGAAGUUUUAUUCAAUUUUUAUGCGUAUGCUUUUGUGAAAUCAUCCUUCAUAUUCUACCGAACGCAAAAGAAGCCAUUGGCGGUAUUUCGCGCAUGCGCAGAACAAAACCUUCCGCACAUGCGCAGUGCAAAUCGUGUUUCCGGUACUGAUAGAGUGACAACAACACUGUGUGGAAGUGUAAACUACUCUUGGGCGAUCUGGUUGUUAUUUUGUUGUUGCUGUUGUUGUUGUUCCCAGUAUUGCUUUUUUUGGUUACUGGUUAAUCUACUUUCUAAUCAAAACGUCCCAGAUAAAUUGGACGGCAGUAACGCUGAUCAGUUUGGCAGUCACAGUUAUUGACAUUAAAUCGCAUGCCCUCUAUCCAGAACCUCUUUUUGUCUUUUGGUAAGUUUCAUUUUUCUCCACUGAGGCCUGUUUGCUACCAAUGACGAAGAUUUGUAGACGCAAACAGUAUAACCAAGCUAAUGUGCUAUGAUAAUACCUGUACAUAAUACCUAAUUGGGUAUUAAGUAAUCACUUCUAUCACACCUUUGUUAUUUAUAGCCUAACCGGCUAAAAUGUAUCUACAGAGCUGAACUGUCAUGAUCCGGAAGUAAAUAUUAACGGUCAGUUUGGUUGAGCUGAAGGUUACGUUUAUCAUCCACAUUAUUGCAGUUACACCGCACACUGAAACCAGUUUGAGACUUUUGCUUUGUGACAUAGUGCAUUAUGAUCAUGUCAUUAGAUGACUGGUCAUUUGUGGGCAUGAAGGGAUGCACAUGGUCAGCAACAAUACAAUUACACCACCUCCACCAGCCUGUUGGCACCAAAUUCUGAUCCUACCAUCUGUGUGCCUCAGCAGAAAUCAACAUUCAUCAGACAUUUUUUCUUGUCUUCAGCUGUCCAGUUUUGGUGAGCCUGUGCCCACUGAAGCCUUAGCUUUCGGUUUUGGUUGACAGAAGUGAAAUCCAGUGUGAUUUCGACAGCAGAAGACCAUAUCAGGUUCCACUCCUGACAAGCCAGGAACAAGAAUCUAAGGCUAUCAUUGACACAAACUGGAUAGUUGAAGACAAAAGACCUGGUGAUUGUUCCCUCUUUUCUCUGUAACCAACUUAUCAGAUACCAUCAACCAUAACACUAUCAGUGCCAUACAGACUUUUAAAUGAAUUUGGGUCAAUCCAGACCUCUGAAAAGUAAGACUUAAUGUCACCUUGUGAAAGUUUGGGGCUAAAACAAUACUUGAUUGCUCUAACAAAUGGCUAAGAUAUUAUCAGUACACAUUCAGCAGUGGAUUACUUUCAUAAAAUUGGUGUCCGUGGAAUUUUUACAGCUAAAGGCUGGAAAAAAAUGUGAACCGAGGGAAUGUCCCCGACGUUCAAGCCAGAAACUGAGGAACUAUCCACCUAUACUAUCCACAUGUACCGUAAUGUUAUAGUCUGGAUGUUGUACACAUAAAGAACUCUCUGUACAUCACCUUUUAAAGUGUGAGCAUAUUCUAAAGCAUUUGGUGAUCUCUUCACAGUUUUCAUUAGAAUAUAAACCUUUGUAGAUGCUUACAGUUUUGGCUAGAAUGGUACUUUCUGAAUGUGAGAUUAUAUAAAGAGUUGUGGAGGUGUGGGGAUGUGGUGGGUCUUAGGCCUGUAUGUGCUUAACUAUUAUGUAAUUUUCCAUUUUCCCACUCAGAUCCCAUUGCUGAUGCAACUAUGAGCGACCACUUCCUUUCUUUGAAAGAAGAAAUGAUUUAUUUCUUUCACUGUAGGAUAACACUGUAUAGAUGUUCUUGUUCUAUUUAAUAUUAUUUUAUGUUGAUGUAUUAUGUUUAAGUGGCACAUACUAUUUUGGCAGAAAUUUGCCUGCAAUGGUACGGUGCUUGAGCAUCAUGGAUAUGGUCAGGUGAUCCAGUUGCAAGCUGACCAAAGAAUUUGCCAGUUUCUCCUUGAGACAGGUAAACACUUUGAAUGAAGAACUGUUAACAGCUUUAAAAGCGAUGGGCGUUCUAGAUGAUUAAGGCCACAGUUUUUUUAAGACCACAGAUUUCAAUAAGGUCAUUAUUUUCCAGCCAAAUGAACAGCCAUCUAUACCAGCAUUAAACCCACAGACAGGUGAAGUAAAUAUUAUUAAUUUCAUACAGUGACACUUGUCAAGGUAUAUUAGGCAGCAAGUGAACUGUCAGCAAGUGCUAGUCUUGGAAGCAGGAAAAAUGGGCAAGCGUAAGGAUCUGAGCGACUUUGAUAGAGGCCGAAUUGUGAUGGCAAGACGACUGGGUCAGAGCAUUACCAAAACAGCAGAUCUUGUGGGGUGUUCCCGGUCUGCAGUGGUCAGUAUCUACCAAAAGUGGUGCAAGGAAGGACAACCAGUGAACCGACGACAGGGUCAUGGGCGCCCAAGGCUCAUUGAUGCAUGCGGAGAGCGAACACUGGCCCAUCUGGUCCAGUCCCACAAAAGAGCAACUUUAGCACAAAUUGCAGAAAAAGUUAAUGCUGGCUGUGAAAAAAAGGUGUCUGAACACACAGUGCGUCGCAGUUUGCUGCGUAUGGGACUGCGUAAACGCAGACCAGUCAGAGUGUGUACAGGCGAGGAUCCGAACUGGCUCAUAGAGGAGUGGAAGAAGGUGGAAGGAUUGGCAACUGUCAUGAAGGCUCUCCAUUUGUAAAUUUUAUAAUGGCGAAUUUCGGAUUGUUUCGGGAUGUGUAGCAGUUGCUUCUCUCAGGUCAUGGCUGAUGUUCUUUCUUCUUUGUGUUAUAGAGACAUACACCUGAGUGCUUCAAAACACCAAAUUGCCAAAAAGUUCGCCUUUCAUAGAGGUUAAUCAUUUUAUUGACAAUUAACUUGUCUUGUGUAUUUCGUUUGUAACACCAGUUGUUGAUUACUUAGUAUUAAAGGAUAAAUGACUCUAAUUAACUCUGUUGUGUUUUUGUUAUCACUUGAGGUUUUUUUUUUUUGGUUGGUUAUUUUUUUGAAGGUAAGGCACAACACAAUAAGCAUAUAACCAAAGGUGGGUG